rnacentral:rRNA from 1 species
UUGGAGGGCAAGUCUGGUGCCAGCAGCCGCGGUAAUUCCAGCUCCAAUAGCGUAUAUUAAAGUUGUUGCAGUUAAAAAGCUCGUAGUUGAACUUCGGGGUUUACUCAUUGGUCAGGCUUAAUUGUCUGCACUGGUGAGAUGAAUCUCUACCUUCUGAGGAACUUUCAUGUCAUUUAUUUGGUGUGAUUGGAAAUCAGGACUGUUACCUUGAAAAAAUUAGAGUGCUUAAAGCAGGCUAUCGCCUGAAUACAUUAGCAUGGAAUAGUGAAAUAGGACGGACUGAUUCUAUUUCGUUGGUUUCUAGGAUCACCGUAAUGAUUAAUAGGGAUAGUUGGGGGCAUUAGUAUUCAAUUGUCAGAGGUGGAAUUCUUGGAUUUAUUGAAGACUAACUUCUGCGAAAGCAUUUGCCAAGGAUGUUUUCAUUAAUCAAGAACGAAAGUUAGGGGAUCGAAGACGAUCAGAUACCGUCGUAGUCUUAACCAUAAACUAUGCCGACUAGGGAUCGGACGAUGUUAAUUUUUUAAUGACUCGUUCGGCGCCUUACGGGAAAC